CUGAAAUUGCCAAGCUCGAUGAGCCUCACAAGCCCACCGAGGAAGUUCUAGAGAGGUGCAAGGCGCUUGACAAGCUCUGGGAGCAAUUUUGCGGUGGUCAG
ensembl:lincRNA linc-98 ncRNA